AGCGAACGUUAGCCCCGGGCCUAACACAUGCAAGUCGAGCGAGAAAGGGACUUCGGUCCUGAGUAAAGCGGCGGACGGGUGAGAAAUACGUAGGUAACCUGCCUUUCAGUGGGGGACAACGGUCCGAAAGGACCGCUAAUACCGCAUACGUCGUCCGGGACUCUGGUCCUGGAUGGGAAAGCCGGGGCAACCUGGCGCUGGAAGAGGGGCCUACGUCGCAUCAGCUAGUUGGUGGGGUAAUGGCCUACCAAGGCUAAGACGCGUAGCUGGUCUGAGAGGAUGAUCAGCCACACUGGGACUGAGACACGGCCCAGACUCCUACGGGAGGCAGCAGUGGGGAAUAUUGGACAAUGGGCGCAAGCCUGAUCCAGCCACGCCGCGUGAGUGAUGAAGGCCUUCGGGUCGUAAAGCUCUGUGGGGAGGGACGAACCGCCGCUGGCUAAUAUCCAGCGGCAUGACGGUACCUCCUUAGCAAGCACCGGCUAACUUCGUGCCAGCAGCCGCGGUAAUACGAAGGGUGCAAACGUUGCUCGGAAUCAUUGGGCGUAAAGCGCACGUAGGCGGCUUCGCAAGUCGGAUGUGAAAUCCCACGGCUCAACCAUGGACGUGCAUCCGAAACUGUGAGGCUUGAGUAUGGAAGAGGUCGCGGAAUUCCCCGGUGUAGA
rnacentral:rRNA from 1 species